AUUGAUUGGUUGGUAAGUAUAGGGCUUGCUGGAUUCGGCACAGAGGAAGCGAUUGGUGAGUGACAGCCCAUGUCUGGAUCAGUGAAUGUGUAGAGGAAAAUGGCAAUUACCUGUGUCGGUGGAGUAGACACGGAAACUCUUAUCCCAGAAGCCACAGACCAGGAUGAAGCGGUUAUCGGCAGUGAUCACGAAGCACUGGGAAUUGACCUGAAUGCUUUGAUCCAAGAGGCAAACCAACGAGGGAGAGUUGAUGAAAUACCAGCGAAUCCACAGCUCAUUGCAUUCCAAUUUGCAUGCAAAUGGUUUAUCAAGAAAAUUCCAUUCCCAACCACCAUGAGUGAAAAACAACAGUGAUCUUCACUUCAGCCCACUAUACAGGAUGUAAUGAAUUGCAGAAAGGAAAGCUGACACACCUAUCAGAGGAUCGAUUUCAACUGGCAGCUGGUAUGGCUGUUCCUGCAUUGCUCCAUGAAGGCCUAAAAUUGUAGAUAAAUAAGUAAAUUAGAUGUUACACAUGCUACACUGUGAAAAAAACGCCAUUUUUAUAUUGCUCCUUAUGUGCUUCAGAACUGUUUUUUAGUGGACAUAUUGGCUUUUGGGAUUUUGAUAUUUCAUUCUUCACUAUAUUAUGAUGAAGAUUCUAUUACUCAAAGAAAUGCUAGAUUGCACCUUUUCAAAAUAUUCUUUGGGGGAUUAAAAUUCUUUAGAUCUCCUGAUAAAAUCAUUUUCUUAUUCAGCUCAGCUUGUUUUUGAGGAGCAAACCUCAUCUGGUUCCCAGUUUUACUGCUCAUUGGUUUUUUGUUAUCACUGUGAAGAACAUAUUAUGCUGCUCAAAAAAUUUAAACAUGUAACUUAUUCUAAACUAAUUCAAUUAUAUUUUACAGUGAAAUAAAAAAAUUGCAUUAUUCUGAUACUAUCAUUUCCAAUCAAACAUUAGGACAUUGAAAUGUUAACAAAAUGUUUCAGUUUAAUCAUUACUGAUGUUAGAAUACAGCUGUCUGUUAACAUGUCAACAUGCACAGAACAAUAAUUCUGCAGACAAAGACUGAAUGGUAAAUCUAGGUGUUGUCACCAACAUCUCUAUACUCACCGGUAA